AGACGCUGUCACAAAACAAAACGAAACAAAAAAACAGAGUUUAUGUUACCCAGGUUGCUCCUACUUGGCACGAUGGAAUUGUUAGCCUUGUGAGGCUCCACUGUUCCCUGAUCCAGCCUCCUUCAUGGGGUCUGAGCAGCUGUCUCCCUGUUCCAGCCCCUCUGCCAGUUCCCUUGCCCUACAGCCCUGGCUGUGUCCACCACCUCACUCAUCUAGAUCUCCGUUUUCUCCUUCGUACAGUAACAUGGAGAGGGACAGUUUAUUGCUAAUGUCCCUCUCAGAAGAACCCAGAAACUUGGGUCCUGAUGUGAUCACAUACGCUCAACAGUUUUGAGUCACUCACUCUAUGAAACAAUCACAAACCAGUAUGUUCAACAGUGUUUUAAGUUCUGAGAAAUGUUAUGUGAUGCAACUUACUGCAAAGAAGCAAAAGUGGUUCCUGCCAUCCUAGAUAUUAAAAGUUCAUUUUCAUAUGCACAGAAUGAGUCUUAGGAUAUGUUUUAUGAACCUGGGUUUGUGUUUUGCUUUUUCCAUUUACUGGAUGUGUGCCUUGGAGAGGAAACUUAAUCCUCAGCUUCCUCAUCAGUAAGAUGGAUUUUAAUUUACUUCUAAAGUUCUUGUGAGAAUAAAGUGAGAUAAUGUGACACAGUGCUUAGCAUAGUGUCCAUCUAAGACAUGCUAAUAGUUGUUUCAUUAAUGUCACAUGAAAAGAACAUUCAACUAGUAAAAGACUAUCAUAAUGUUUAUCCUCACAACUUUGGAUGGUAUGUCGGUGUGAACACGGCCACAUUCGAUUCUGUCAGCCUCUGCCAUUCUGAAAGUUUAGUGAGGCUUUUUCUGGAGAUUCCUUCCAUUUAGAAAAGAGCCCUUCAUUUCCUUCUCCAAUUAACACUCUCUAAGGUAGACAGAGCAUAAAAUGCUGUUCCGUUAGGUGUUUGGCCCCCAUUAGGGCCUCACUUGCUGUCUUACUUGCCCACGAUAUGAACCCAGUCUUCUCUGAAUUCUCAUAUUCUUCACACAUCAUCCUAAUGCUUCAAAAACAGUUAUCCAUGCUGUCCCAGAGCCCUGAGGCCAAGGGCUCACAUCCGUUUGAUGGCCUCCCCCCAUUUUCCAGGUGAGGGAAUGGCGGCACACUUUGAGGCAGGUGAGUCCCAGGUAUUAGAGGAAGGGGUUCUAAAAGGUAGCCGAGGCCCAUCUCCUUCUGGCUUUUCCUUUUCCAGAGUUUCUGCCAAAGCAAGGGGACAGGACCUGAACACACAGGAGAAACCCUCACGAAGGUGACCUGUGCAAAGCCACACACACAGCCACCCAGCCUGGGGUCUUUCUAGCUCAGCUCUUGUUCAGCACUGUAGAAAGUGACAUAAGCCGAGUUAUUUUACAGGGCUAAGUGGACAAGUCAGGUUUGGUGUUUUCAAAAUGCUGAUGAGACUAGCCAUCUCUUCUGACUGAGUUAGAAAUCUACUCGGUUUAUCUGGAGCAUCCUUACCCUCUUUACUACUUCUGGUCAGAACAUGCCAGCUACACCUGUAACGAUGGGAGAACGCAGUGAUGCUGACUCACCAAAUAGUCAAAAUGUGUUUCCUGAUUGUUGAAUUGUGGCCAUUUUUCUCCAUCCUUCUAAAAGUCCUUGAUCAAAACAGACAGGAUGCGAUUUUAAAAUAUGGCACACUCAAAACUGAAAGCACACAAUUCGAAUGUCCUUGUCUCUUUGAACUCAGUGGGCUGUGUGUUACUCACAGUGGAAGAGCUGAAGUCUUUUUCUAACUUUAUGGGCUCCCAUUUAGGUACAAAUGAAAUCGCUGAAGUUUUGACUGCUUGAGGACUGUUUUUUCACACAGGCAUCGGUUAAAAAAAUCAAAAUGAAUGUAAGGACCCUUCUGUGUUUAAGCAUAACACACUUAGUUUGCCUCUUCUUGUCUUCAACUGGGCUGUAGGGAGGGCAUGGCUUCCUCAAAACAUUUCGUAUCAGAGUUGAGUUUCAAGUUCCACUCUGCAAGUUCCUUUCUUUGGGAUCUUAGUUAAGGUGCAUAAUCUCCAUGGAACUAAGUUUCUUCACCUCUAAAAUGGGGACAAUAACUAUCACUUUGGGUUUGUUGUGGCAACAUUUAUAGUUUAGCACAGGACGGGAACGUGGAAAAAAAAAGUCAGUACAUACUAAUUAAGCACCUAUUAUACACCCUGGGCUGCUGUGUUUGUUGCUUGCUGCCCAACUCUGGGACCACAGUUUGCAUCACAGUCAUUAGAGAUUUGUAUGUUUAUUAGGAUGUUUUCUCUUUUUUUUGGCAGGGAAUAAAAUGUUUUGAGGAAGGCACACCUUUUUAAAAUUCACACAAAAGGACCAUUUAGGCUAGAAAAGGCUGGGUCAUGGCCAUGACAAAAAAUAUAAUCUAAUGGGGAAAGGCAACAUAGAAACUCAAAAAAAAAAAAAUUGCACUGAUUGAUGACUGUGUUGAGUAUUGAAACAGCAAGUGUCUGUGUGGUCACGGAGGGAGGAGAAAGCAUUCCUUCCAGUGAAGAGCUACUGAAACUCAGCAGCAAUGGUAGUUUUAAGACAUGUCCACAAGUUCCUUGAUAUUCCUCCCUUUAAAAUAUGGGCCUCACUCUGCUCCCUGGGAGGGGGAGCUAUAUUUAGUGACCCAUUUUGAGUGAACUGAAUGUGAUGGACAGCCAUCACACACAUUGAAUGUGUGUGACCCAGGACACUGAACUGUAUGAGGAAUUGUGGCAUCCUCCUUGCUCCCUCUCCUUGGUCACUCCUUCUAGGGGAAACCAGAUCCUAUGUUAUAAGGACUCUCAGGCAGCCCCUGGGAGAGGCCCAUGCUGUAGAGAAUUGAAGCCUCUUGCUAAUACCUUGUGAGCCAUCUUGGAAGUGGUCAAGCCCCAGCCGCCAUCUUGUCUGCAGCCUCGUGAAAUACCCUGAGCCAACACCACUUGGCUAAGCCACUCUAGCAUUCCUGAUCCACAGGAACUACGAUAAUAAUUGUUUAUUGUUUUAAGUUGUUGAGUUUUGGAACAAUUUGUUACACAACAGAUCACAAAUGCAGCGGUGAAAAGUUUCCAGAGGAAAUUUCCCUUCGGUUGGAGCCUGGGGGCCUGGGCUUGGUGACCGAGAUCUGAGAGUCAUAUGCCCAACUUUCUCUGUUAUAGGAAGUUAGGAUUUAGCCUAUCAGCAACCAAUUCAAGCCAGAGGAUGUCUUUACACAGGGGAGUGACAUGACCAGAGUUGAUGAUGGUAUUUGUGGCGUGAAAUGGAAUGAGGAAGAGGCCGGUUGGGGAGUGAGGGAGACUUCCAGUUAGGAACUUCUAGAAUCAACAGUUCAGGUAAGAGAUGAUGAGAAUAUGAACUAAGGCAAUGGCAGAGGGGUUGCAUAUGGGAGGACUGUCUUAAGAUUUGGUGGUUUUCAGAAAGAAACAGGUAGUUUCUAAGGCCAUCUAGUGCAAUCAUGUUUCACUCUGCAUUGUGUAGGAAAAAAAAUGUGAAUUAUAUGGUAAUACCAUAUUUAUACCAAUAAUAUCAUCACACACACACACACACGAUACUUCCACGAGCUUAGAAGAAUGAGCCCAUCACAACGAGUACUUCACAAGAAAUGCCACACUCUAAGGAUUUAAUAUUAAGCAUUUGAAAUAGUUCUUUAUAGAAAUGCUAGUUCAAGAAUAAAAAGAAAAUAAAGAGCGCCCAUCUUCCAUUGGAACCAAAAGCCUCACAUCUGUCUGUUGUACAAGUAAGACCACAGAGGAUUCGACUGAAUUAUAGUGGGGUGAUUUAUAGGCCUGUCUGAAUACAGAUCGCACACAGUAUUGAAAUACUGGAAGAUUCAAACACUGUCUAUGACUCAAAUAGCACAAGCAGUGAUAGUAAAUUAGCUAAGUGCUCAUCUCUCCAGACAAGAGUUUCCUUAGGAAAAUAAUAUCUAUUUUUGGUAUUUCAGUAGCUCUAGAAAGAGAUGAAUACUACUAAAAGAGAUGAAUAUGUCAAUGCUAAGUCAUGAAUGUUUUAAAAAGCCACAUUUCUACACAAAUGGAAGGAAAAUUUUGCUUUUUUUUUUUUUUUUUUUUUAGAAAACUUAUUUUUAUUCUAUUAUAUUGAACACAUUGUAUCACCCCCACUCAUAGCUGCAUUCCAAAACAGUUCUUCUGGGAAGCAGGGUUUUAGUUUUACUGAACAUGAAUAAAAAAUCCAGGCAGAAUUCAAAACCAGGGGAAAGAGUCAAGGAAGCAAAUUUGCUUUUCAGAAGCAAGAUAUUUAUAAACAGUAAUAGCUGAGAAUCAUAUAAUUUGUUUCUGAAAAUUACCUUUUAAAUAGGGCUUCAUUUUACAUUUGCAUAGUAUAUGGAAUUUUGUAAGAAGCAUUAAAUUUCAAAUAACUUGAUGCAAUAAAUAAUCAUGGAAUACUCAUUGUCCAAAUAUAACAGAUAGAGCAUGUCCACUAAGAGUAAUGUUAUUUCUCUUAAAAUAAAGGGGAAAAUCUAAGUUCCUUGAGGCAGAGACUGUGUUGUUGACUAUGGCAGUCCCGUGCCUACCAUGAUACCUGAAAUGAGUCACUCAAACAGUGACAUUUUGAAGAGGAAUGAAGGAAGGAGUGGAGGAGCGAGUGUGUGAACACAUGCCAUGGUAGGGAUGUUGGGCUGGUACAAAUAAAAACGAAGCCAUACAUUUCAAAGGUGUGCCUCCAAGGUGAGAACUCAAAAUAUUUAUAACUGAAGAGUUGUGUGGAAGAUGUAAAAAAUCCUGAUGUUUAAGAAAAGACAAAAAUAACACAAGUGUGAACUGAGAUGCUGCAGCACAUUUUAGGAACCUUGAUGUAAUCAGUUUAGCAAAAGCACAUUGCUAGAGCCACAAUUAAGAACACUGGUGUUUAGAGUAAUUGGAAUAUGGUGAAAAUAACUUAAUGAAAUAAUGUUUCUUCAAGCCUAUCAAAAAUCUGCUUCUGUUUCAUAGUCCAAAGUUAAACUUUUGUGCAAUACAGGACAAAGAGAAACCACCACCAUUAGUGCCUGCACCACAGCAAUUUAUUAGCGUAACUUUUUCUUUUUUUCUUUAAAGAUUUCAUAACAACUGA
rnacentral:lncRNA from 1 species